rnacentral:rRNA from 1 species
UACAGAGGUCUCAAGCGUUGUUCGGAUUCAUUGGGCGUAAAGGGUCCGUAGGCGGUUUUGUAAGUCAGUGGUGAAAGCCCAUCGCUCAACGGUGGAACGGCCAUUGAUACUGCAAGACUUGAAUUAUUAGGAAGUAACUAGAAUAUGUAGUGUAGCGGUGAAAUGCUUAGAGAUUACAUGGAAUACCAAUUGCGAAGGCAGGUUACUACUAAUGGAUUGACGCUGAUGGACGAAAGCGUGGGGAGCGAACAGG